rnacentral:misc_RNA from 1 species
GAAAUGCGAUACGUAGUGUGAAUUGCAGAAUUCCGUGAACCAUCGAAUCUUUGAACGCACAUUGCGCUCGAGGCUUCGGCCGAGAGCAUGUCUGCCUCAGCGUCGGCCCAUCCCCUCACAACCCCUUCCCAGUCGUUCCAUUGGAGCCUGGCGGGGGCUGUGGAUCUGGCCGAGUCGGCUGAAGCUCAGAGGCCUGAGCAAGAGCCCAUUCAACCGGGCAUCAACAAGGUGGGUGGCCCUCUGGGCUGCAUUGCCGUUGAUGACCGGGGGACUUGCUGGGGGCCUGCAGGAACACCGGCCCUUUACACUGCCGGUGCCGACCAAACUUUUCGACCUGAGAUCAGGCAAGAACACCCGCUGAACUUAA